GUGGGUGGUAAACUCCAUCUAAAACUAAAUAUAACCAUGAGACCGAUAGUAAACAAGUACCGUGAGGGAAAGUUGAAAAGAACUCUGAAUAGAGAGUUAAAUAGUACGUGAAACUGCUUAGAGGUUAAGCCCGAUGAACCUGAAUAUCCAUUAUAGAAAAUUCAUCAUUAUGAUUUUAAUAUUUAUAAUAUUAUAAUAAUAGUGUGCAUUUUUUCUGUAACGGACAUUGUAAUCUAUUAACAUAUAUAUAUUUAUCAAAAGAUCAAUGAUGCGUAAGUUUAUUCAAAUUAUUUUGCUUGCAAUUUAACAUAGAAUAAAUGCUCUUGAUUUGAUAAAGUGUUGAUAGAUUUAUUGUAUAUAGUGCUUAAAUAUUUAUAUUUUAUAAUAGCAUAUUAAUCAUUGAUUUUUAUGUUUAUUAUAUGCACUUAUAUGAUUAACAAUGCGAAAGAUUCAGGAUACC
rnacentral:rRNA from 1 species